AUGAGUAGGGCGGGACACGUGGUAUCCUGUCUGAAUAUGGGGGGACCAUCCUCCAAGGCUAAAUACUCCUGACUGACCGAUAGUGAACCAGUACCGUGAGGGAAAGGCGAAAAGAACCCCGGCGAGGGGAGUGAAAAAGAACCUGAAACCGUGUACGUACAAGCAGUGGGAGCACCCUUUGGGGUGUGACUGCGUACCUUUUGUAUAAUGGGUCAGCGACUUAUAUUCUGUAGCAAGGUUAACCGUAUAGGGGAGCCGGAGGGAAACCGAGUCUUAACCGGGCGUUAAGUUGCAGGGUAUAGACCCGAAACCCGGUGAUCUAGCCAUGGGCAGGUUGAAGGUUGGGUAACACUAACUGGAGGACCGAACCGACUAAUGUUGAAAAAUUAGCGGAUGACCUGUGGCUGGGGGUGAAAGGCCAAUCAAACCGGGAGAUAGCUGGUUCUCCCCGAAAGCUAUUUAGGUAGCGCCUCGUGAAUUCAUCUCCGGGGGUAGAGCACUGUUUCGGCUAGGGGGCCAUCCCGGCUUACCAACCCGAUGCAAACUGCGAAUACCGGAGAAUGUUAUCACGGGAGACACACGGCGGGUGCUAACGUCCGUCGUGAAGAGGGAAACAACCCAGACCGCCAGCUAAGGUCCCAAAGUCAUGGUUAAGUGGGAAACGAUGUGGGAAGGCCCAGACAGCCAGGAUGUUGGCUUAGAAGCAGCCAUCAUUUAAAGAAAGCGUAAUAGCUCACUGGUCGAGUCGGCCUGCGCGGAAGAUGUAACGGGGCUAAACCAUGCACCGAAGCUGCGGCAGCGACGCUGAUGCGUUGUUGGGUAGGGGAGCGUUCUGUAAGCCUGCGAAGGUGGCCUGUGAGGGUUGCUGGAGGUAUCAGAAGUGCGAAUGCUGACAUAAGUAACGAUAAAGCGGGUGAAAAGCCCGCUCGCCGGAAGACCAAGGGUUCCUGUCCAACGUUAAUCGGGGCAGGGUGAGUCGACCCCUAAGGCGAGGCCGAAAGGCGUAGUCGAUGGGAAACGGGUUAAUAUUCCCGUACUUGGUGUUACUGCGAAGGGGGGACGGAGAAGGCUAUGUUGGCCGGGCGACGGUU
rnacentral:rRNA from 1 species